CAGCGACUUUCUUGAUUAUGGUGGAGUCAAACAUGCAGGAAGGUCUUGAAGGCAAUCCAGUAGCUGGAACUAUGAAGAAAUUCUCAAGAAUUAUUGCCUUCCUUUCUAUUCCAGUUUUGAUAGGCAUUGAAAAGGCAUUGUUUUGUUACUGGCUUACCUCCAAUCUGUUUACUCUUGUGUAUGGAUUAAGUAAGUCCCCCGAACAUUGUUCUUACUCUUUG